CUUGAAAGGUAGAAAAAAAUAUUUUUUUAUCUUGCAAAAACAAAUGGUUGCUUAAAAUAGAAAAAAUGUUGAAAGUGGUUAACUUAAGGUUUUCAUUCAGCACACCUGAUAUAACAACAAUCCUAGAUAGAUGGGUAAAAUAGUCAUUUACUGUCUUUUAGAUUGUUCAUUUAGCACACAAAAAGAAACAACAAUUUUCAUCUAACAAAUCAAUUGUCUUGUGUUUGUAAAUUUUUGUCUUUUUCGCAGCAGAGUAUGAAACCCCAUAGAAUUCUCUAAAUCAGGUUGGAACAUGCCAAGAGAUGAACUUAAAUAAAUGGGCAACUUGAAAGAAUCAAGUUAAAAAAAAGGGUCCAUCUGUUCAUGAAGAUUCUCAAAGCACUAUAAUUUGAUGGCCGUGAAGACACUUGAGAAUGUUUAUUUUUAUUUUGAUGUCUUUUAAUUUUAAAAUAUUUUUUUUGUAAAAAUUCAAUAUCUAUUUGUAAGAAAUAGUGACAUACUUUCGAUGGUAUGUUAUUUAUAGCAUUCUACUUCUAUCAUUAGCUAUGAAAAUUCUAUCCAAUUAUAUCUAUGAAAAAUGUAUAGCAACUCAGUUAUAGCG